AACGAACGCUGGCGGCAUGCCUAACACAUGCAAGUCGAACGAGACCUUCGGGUCUAGUGGCGCACGGGUGCGUAACGCGUGGGAACCUGCCCUUAGGUUCGGAAUAACUCCCCGAAAGGGGUGCUAAUACCGGAUAAUGUCUUCGGACCAAAGAUUUAUCGCCUUUGGAUGGGCCCGCGUUGGAUUAGCUAGUUGGUAGGGUAAAAGCCUACCACGGCGACGAUCCAUAGCUGGUCUGAGAGGAUGAUCAGCCACACUGGGACUGAGACACGGCCCAGACUCCUACGGGAGGCAGCAGUGGGGAAUAUUGGACAAUGGGCGAAAGCCUGAUCCAGCAAUGCCGCGUGAGUGAUGAAGGCCUUAGGGUUGUAAAGCGCUUUUACCCGGGAUGAUAAUGACAGUACCGGGAGAAUAAGCUCCGGCUAACUCCGUG
rnacentral:rRNA from 1 species